UUGCCUCACUCGCACUACUGUCAAAAUAACAAAAAAACAAGAACAUUUAAAAAAAUUAUUAAAAUGAAAUCCGUAACACAUUUUAAAAGAGUUCCGGUUAAAAAAAAUUAAAAAAUCAGAACACAUUUGAGAAGACUUCCGGUGAAAAUUUUGGCUAAACCAGAAGAUAACUUAAAUGAAUUCUGGUGUGUAGAUUGAAAAUUGGAAGACUUUUGCAUUGAG
rnacentral:lncRNA from 1 species